GUUUUGAACAGGCCCUGCAGGCCGGCGGAGGCCCUCUCCUCCUCCCCAGACAGCAGCGCUGUGGACCUCGCUGAGCUGGUGACCCGUCAUCCCCAGCCCUUCUCCGGGAAACCCCUUCUGUAGGAAACACAUUUCUCACUUUCCCAGCACCUAAGUGCCAUCAUUCUGUCUGAUGAGAUGAAAGUGGAAAUAUCUCCAUCUUCUGGGGAAAGCUUUCAUUUUCUUGGUAAAAGGGAAAACGCUGCUGCUGCGACUUCUGUGUCCCCGGCUUCAACCUUGAACUGGGGCCCGGUGCCUGAAGAUGCAGGGGAGGGCUCAGACCGUGAGCAACUCCAGCUCACUGCAGUGGGGGGAAAAGAACAUUAUCCGGCCUCUGCACCAGUCCUGGAGAAGUCAAGCUCUGCACCAGUCCUGGAGAAGUCAAGCUCACCUUGACUUCUACAAGAAAAAGAAAUCCCUUUUUGUUAAGUCACGGCAAGAAUUCAAUUCUGGGUCCUGAGCAGGGGUUGUCUUGGUCAACAAGCAACUUCAGUUCCUUGGGACAGGACCCCAGACUUGCUGGUAUGACGUCAUUGUUUCUUUACUGGCCCAAGAAUGUGCUCAGCACCCCAGCUCUCAAAGCUUCAGGAAGGGGGUGCCCCCCUCCAGCUGCUGCUGAGCAGGCGCCCAGAAGCGGCCUCCUGCACCCCGGACUGACCUGCCGGAGCCUGGAGUCAGCAGCUUUCCCAUCACUGCUCGAGCGAAGUGGAGGUCCGAAAUCACAGCUUCACCGCCAGCUACUGGGGGACCUGCACGAGUCACUUAGCCUCCGAAUGCCUCGUUCCUCUGUAAAAUGGGGCAUCUGGUUUAGAUGAGCUGUAAGAUUCAUUCCAGUUCUGAAAUGACUAAUUCUUCCCUCA
rnacentral:lncRNA from 1 species